AUGGGUGAGAUCGAAGGUGGGAAAACAUUAGCUUUUGCACAAAAACCUCAUAAUUUUUUUCCAAACAAUCGAAUCCUCGUAAUUUACAUCAUGGUAGUACAAUUCAGACCGCACAACGGCAUACUUCACCGCAAGCGUGUGCACACACACAUACACACCUUACUUGCCGGGAACAAAGUUGGUGGCGAAUGCCCAUGCGUUGUUGUUGACGGGGUCGGAGAGGUGGUCAGCGAGGUUCUCAAGUGGACCCUUACCGGUGACGAUGGCUUGCACAAAGAAACUGAACAUGGAGAACAUGGCGAGGCGACCAUUCUUGAUCUCCUUAACCUUGAGCUCGGCGAAUGCUUCAGGAUCGUCGGCAAGGCCAAGUGGGUCAAAGCUACCGCCGGGGUAGAGCGGGUCGACAAUCUCACCUAG
rnacentral:rRNA from 1 species